UACGUAGGGGGCUAGCGUUAUCCGGAAUUACUGGGCGUAAAGGGUGCGUAGGUGGUUUCUUAAGUCAGAGGUGAAAGGCUACGGCUCAACCGUAGUAAGCCUUUGAAACUGGGGAACUUGAGUGCAGGAGAGGAGAGUGGAAUUCCUAGUGUAGCGGUGAGAUGCGUAGAUAUUAGGAGGAACACCAGUUGCGAAGGCGGCUCUCUGGACUGUAACUGACGCUGAGGCACGAAGGCGUGGGGAGCAAACAGG
rnacentral:rRNA from 1 species